rnacentral:ncRNA from 2 species
GUGAAAGCUAACGGGUGUCACUGUGGAUAUUUUGGCGUUUGUUAAAACCCUAAAAUAUAACCUUAUAUGACUGAGAUUACACCGUAUGAACUCGAUCAAGAUAAUGCUUGCGUGAGAAUAGUCUUAUAUCCUUUC